GGAAGCCGGUGGGAAUCCGGCACAGUCGCGCUACUGUGACAUCGCCUCCGAGGCAUUCGAGGAGCGGUGAAGUCAGAC
rnacentral:ncRNA from 1 species